AAGAAGGAAGAAAGUUCUUGCCAGGCAGCGGAAAGAGCAUCUACAAAGCACUGGCCACUCCAGAAAGGACCACUCACAUAUGGUCUACAUUAUCGAUGGGGCUGUGAACGAUGCUGCUUGGAGCCGUGCAACAAGCCACCUGUCAACACCCUGCAGGAGGGGAGCUGCAUGAGGCAUGACAAAGAAGACAAAGUAAGCUCUGGACACCUAGACAAAGACCACAGAAACAACAGAGGUGUUGUGGCAACAUGAGAAGAGCACUGGCCUGAGAGGCAGGACAUCCACGUUCUGGUCCCUGCUCUGUCCCCACCUAGCUAUGUGACCUUAUGAAAGUUCCUCUUUUUUUUCCCUCUGGGCCCAGCUCCCCUAUCUGUCAAAUGAAGGAACUGGACAAGAUGAUCUUUAAGAUCUCUCCCAGCUCUGAGAAAUCUCGCCCUCCCACUCAGCAUGGACCGCCCUCCCGCCUGCUCGCUCAAGGCAGUGUCUCUCCAGCUGACCUACUUUGUGUGGGGAGGGGAGGAGGGCAGAGAGGAGCUCUAAGCAGGGAGCGAACAACCAAAGGUUCGCCCGCCCUCCCGAGAGAUUCAGGCCCCUCUGCAGAGUGCUAACAGUUGGGACGGUGCCCCCCACCCCACCUGCUUCUGAGGCCUCUCCUGCCUGCUCCGCAGAAUGCAGCAGGCUUAAAAUAUCUGCCAGGGCAGCGGGGCUGUGUUGAUGCAUUGCUUUUAGUUCUUAAUCAUGUUGCUGAUUCACCAGGGUAUUUCUCUGACUUUCCAAACAUGUUUUUUUAAAG
ensembl:lncRNA